UGUUCAAAACAGGUUCCCCAUUGAUGUCCCAGUCAGCUGUUGAUGAAGGGUCCAAAACUGGAAUCAAAGGGUCUGGGAUUCUGAGCUCAGCAGCUAAACCGAGCAACAAGAAGUUAAAGUUUUUGAUCAGUAACACAUAGCACGGUUCUUCUGCCAUCAAGGAUCAGCAUCUGUUAGUCGACACAUGACCAUUUUUAUGGUGCUCAGGGCCAUAUGUUUGAUGAUUUUCACCCAAACAAGGCCGAUGUGAUUAUUACCUUGGCUGGAUCAAAUGGAGGAUCAUGGUCAACCAGUUUCUUACCAAAUUCAUCAUUAAAG